rnacentral:rRNA from 1 species
GACGAACGCUGGCGGCGUGCUUAACACAUGCAAGUCGAACGGGAUUUAGUAGACAGAAGCCUCGGCUAAAGAUUACUAAUGAGAGUGGCGAACGGGUGAGUAACGCGUUAGCAACCUGCCUAUGACAGUGGGAUAGCCUCGGGAAACCGGGAUUAAUACCGCAUAAAAUCGUAGAAACACAUGUUUCAACGGUCAAAGAUUUAUCGGUCAUAGAUGGGCUCGCGUCUGAUUAGCUAGUUGGUGAGAUAACAGCCCACCAAGGCGACGAUCAGUAGCCGGUCUGAGAGGAUGAGCGGCCACACUGGAACUGAGACACGGUACAAACUCCUACGGGAGGCAGCAGUGGGGAAUAUUGCACAAUGGGGGAAACCCUGAUGCAGCGACGCCGCGUGAACGAAGAAGGUAUUCGUAUCGUAAAGUUCUGUCCUAUGGGAAGAUAAUGACAGUACCAUAGAAGAAAGCUCCGGCUAACUACGUG